rnacentral:rRNA from 1 species
GAUCAAGCUACUAAGGGCUUAUGGUGGAUGCCUUGGUGCCAAGAGGCGAUGAAGGACGUAGUAAGUUGCGAUAAGCCACGGGGAGCCGCAAGCAGGCUUUGAUCCGUGGAUCUCCGAAUGGGAAAACCCACUCCAGGUAACACUGGAGUAUCGCCGGAUGAAUUCAUAGUCCGGCGAGGCAAGACGGGGUGAAGUGAAACAUCUCAGUAACCCCAGGAAAAGAAAACGAAGCGAUUCCGUCAGUAGUGGCGAGCGAAAGCGGAACAGCCUAAACCGGGAGGACUAGUCUUCCCGGGGUUGAGGGACCUUAAUGUGGGAGGUGGCGAGCGAGCUUAACCAUCUGGAAAGUUGGGCCAGAGACCGUGACAGCCGGGUGAGCGAAGUUCAAAGCCCCCUAGAGGUAUCCCAAGUAAUGCGGUGCACGUGAAACUCUGCAUGAAUCCGUCCGGACCACCGGAUAAGGCUAAAUACUCCUUGGCAACCGAUAGUGAACUAGUACCGCGAGGGAAAGGUGAAAAGAACCGCUGCUAGCGGAGUGAAAUAGUACCUGAAACCAUAUGCCUACAAUGUGUAGGAGCCGGCUCCAUUCCGGAGCCCGUUCCGGCCGCAAGGCUGGGGCCUGACUUCGGAAUGGAGCCGGUGACUGCCUGCCUUUUGCAUAAUGAGUCUGCGAGUUAUUGUCCGUGGCCAGCUUAAGCCGUUCUGCGGCGGAGGCGAAGGGAAACCGAGUGCCAAUAGCGCGACCAAGUCGCGGGCAAUAGACCCGAAGCGGAGGUGAUCUACUCUUGAGCAGGUUGAAGCCUGGGUAAUACCAGGUGAAGGACCGAACUCGUGGAUGUUGAAAAAUCCUGAGAUGACUUGAGAGUAGGAGCGAAAGACUAAUCAAACCCCGUGAUAGCUGGUUCUCUCCGAAAUCGCUUGAGGGCGAGUGUUGUGGAAGUACUCCAUGGAGGUAGAGCACUGAAUGGCUUAGGGACCCCACCAGGUUACCAAAACCAAUCAAACUCCGAAUGCCAUGGAUCUCAGUAUCACAGCAGUUAGGCAGUGGGCGAUAAGGUUCAUUGCCGAGAGGAAAACAGUCCAGACCAUCAGCUAAGGUGCCCCAAUGUGAUUAAGUGGAAAGGAUGUGACGUUGCUUAGACAGUGAGGAUGUUGGCUUAGAGGCAGCCAUCAUUUAAACAGUGCGUAACAGCUGACUCAUCGAGCGAUGUCGCGCCGAAAAUGAUUGGCGAUUAAAUCACAUACCGAAGCUAUGGAUUCGCAGGAUUUUCGAAUCCUGCGAGUGGUAGGAGAGCGUAAUCAGCGCGGCGAAGCCGGACGGAAACGGACGGUGGAGCGCUGAUUAGUGAGAAUGCAGACACGAGUAGCGAUAAACCAGGUGAGAAUCCUGGUCGCCGUAAACCCAAGGUUUCCUGGGCCAGGUUCGUCCUCCCAGGGUUAGCCGGGAGCUAACGCGAGGCCGUAAGGCGUAGCGGAUGCACAGCAGGUUAAAUAUUCCUGCGCCGGGUAAGAAUUAGCUAUGCGAUGACGCAACGGAACACAUCGGCUAGGCAAUCGAAUGCUGAGCUUAGGCUUCGGCCGAAGCGCACCGGUGGAGAAGUUGCCGAGAAAAGUUGCAUAGUAUGUCUUAUUCGCCCGUACCGCAAACCGACACAGGUGGGUGAGUGUAAGCGCACUCAGGCGCGCGAGAGAAACCUCUCUAAGGAACUCGGCACAUUAGCCCCGUAACUUCGGGAGAAGGGGUGCCCAAAAAGGUUGCAGCAAUGUAGCCUUGGCGGGCCUCAGUAAAUUGCGUUUGGCGACUGUUUAACAAAAGCACAGCACUCUGCCAAGUCGUGAAGACGACGUAUAGGGUGUGACACGUGACCAAUGCUGAAAGAUUAAGAGAUCUUGUUAGCCGCAAGGCGAAGCUCGGUCUUUAAGUCCCAGUGAAUGUCGGCCGUAACUAUAACGGUCCUAAGGUAGCGAAAUUCCUUGUCGGGUAAGUUCCGACCUGCACGAAUCGUGUAACGAC